rnacentral:rRNA from 1 species
GAUGAACGCUGACAGAAUGCUUAACACAUGCAAGUCAACUUGAACUUCGGUUUGGGUGGCGGACGGGUGAGUAACGCGUAAAGAACUUGCCUCACAGCUAGGGACAACAUUUGGAAACGAAUGCUAAUACCUGAUAUUAUGAUUUUAGGGCAUCCUAGAAUUAUGAAAGCUAUAUGCGCUGUGAGAGAGCUUUGCGUCCCAUUAGCUAGUUGGAGAGGUAACGGCUUACCAAGGCGAUGAUGGGUAGCCGGCCUGAGAGGGUGAACGGCCACAAGGGGACUGAGACACGGCCCUUACUCCUACGGGAGGCAGCAGUGGGGAAUAUUGGACAAUGGACCAAGAGUCUGAUCCAGCAAUUCCGUGUGCACGAUGAAGUUUUUCGGAAUGUAAAGUGCUUUCAGUUGGGAAGAAAAAAAUGACGGUACCAACAGAAGAAGUGACGGCUAAAUACGUG